rnacentral:rRNA from 1 species
GAGGAAUAUUGGUCAAUGGACGAGAGUCUGAACCAGCCAAGUAGCGUGCAGGAUGACGGCCCUAUGGGUUGUAAACUGCUUUUGUAUGGGGAUAAAGUCAAUCACGUGUGAUUGUUUGCAGGUACCAUACGAAUAAGGACCGGCUAAUUCCGUGCCAGCAGCCGCGGUAAUACGGAAGGUCCGGGCGUUAUCCGGAUUUAUUGGGUUUAAAGGGAGCGUAGGCCGGAGAUUAAGUGUGUUGUGAAAUGUAGACGCUCAACGUCUGACUUGCAGCGCAUACUGGUUUCCUUGAGUACGCACAACGUUGGCGGAAUUCGUCGUGUAGCGGUGAAAUGCUUAGAUAUGACGAAGAACUCCGAUUGCGAAGGCAGCUGACGGGAGCGCAACUGACGCUUAAGCUCGAAGGUGCGGGUAUCAAACAGGAUUAGAUACCCUGGUAGUCCGCACAGUAAACGAUGGAUGCCCGCUGUUGGUACCUGGUAUCAGCGGCUAAGCGAAAGCAUUAAGCAUCCCACCUGGGGAGUACGCCGGCAACGGUG